rnacentral:lncRNA from 1 species
AGCCAAACUUAAAAUUAAGCGGUGUUGAAAGUGAAGUUUUUGCAUGAGUUUGGUUUUGACUGUCUGCUCUACUUACUGCUGUGACUGUGUGCCGCUGCAGGCGGUCAGGAGAGGAGUCAGCUGGUGGGCGGAGAUGUAACGGGAGUGGAUCUGGACCAGCUGGACCCCGGAGCGCAGUACGAGGUGCAGGUCAUGGCUUUAGUUCAAAACAGAGAGGGAGCCCCAGUGUCUGUCAGAGUCACCACACCUGGUGAAUUUACCCCGGGUACUUCCACUCCUCUGAGUGUGAUCGAAGUUACCCAGAGUUCUGUGCGGCUUGGUUGGACUCUUCUACCAGGAGCCACAGGAUACAUUCUGCGCUGGAGAGACGAAAGAGAUACCGGUCGAGGCUUGUCCGUUACGCUGCCUGCUUCAUCCAACUCUUACCAGGUGACAGGGCUGCGCUUGGG